AUGUACAUGCCUACAACAUAGCAUUAAUGCAUUGGAUCCCAUUAUAACUCUACAGUUAAGAGCGUUAUGGCUAGAGUAGUAUUUGGAUGAGUGAUCUCCUAGGAAGUCCUAGUGUUUUACAUG
rfam:Picea glauca, whole genome shotgun sequence.